CAUGAUUUAUUUCUCUUUUAUGUCUACAGGUGGCAGUGUCAAAGCCAAAAGCUUCCAGAAGUGGUUUCUGAAAAAUAAAGAGUUGAAUGUACAUGAGUAAGCAAACACAGGAAUCUGAAAAACCACAGGCAGCCUGUGGCAGAUGAAACCUAGUACAUUUCCAGCACUUCAGGAGAGUUCUUGCUCAGUCUAUUCAAUAUUCAUCUCAACACCAUCAUGAAGGAAUGAAAUGCAGAUAAGUCGUAGGAAAACUUUCAUAGGAAAAGUGCCUCGUGUGAUCAGAACAAAGCUGUUUUAUAAUCAGAUUUACCAAGCUGAGAAGAAGGAGUUUCAGUGAACGGAAGCUGCAGUGUUCUGUCACCAGGAAACACUGCAUUUUCCAGAGUCGGAGCCUGGUUUAUUUCUGUUCUCCCUUCAUGAUUAUCCCCAAACUUUAUGAAGGAUUAUUCUAUUUCACUACAUAAUUAUUUUCCCGAAAAUUCACCCUUGAUUUAUUGACUGUCCGCUGCUUGCUGAUGAGUCUUUCUGAAAGCAGAAGAGCAGCUGUGUGAUAGAAGUGGCAAGCAACUUAGACAUGGAGCUUCAGCAUGGCUAUCCACUGUGAGGAAGAAGAGAAUGGAAAUUGCUUCCAUGAAACACAAGUUUUACAAUGUAAUUUAUUUCUCUAUUCUUCUAAUAAAGAAAUUAAACUUAUGAAUUUUUUUUAAAGUAACAAUUCUGGCUAAAAUUCUCAGUAGAGGCAUAGAAGUUAUUAUGGGAAAUUUGUUGAUUGUUUAUA